GAUCUGCUGUUCAAAUAAAAUCUUUUCGAAUCCUGGAGGUGGAGGACUGUAAAAUUCACUGAACUGACAAUCCAAAAUUGCACUGUCAUCAACUGAAAAGCAAAAAGAACAAAAAUAAAAUCAGCUACUAGUAGAGGAACUUGAAUCUGCUCAACAAUUCCACAUGCCAAGGAUGCGGCCGAAGAGCUUAGCUCGCCUUCGGGGGUCCGAGAUCUCGUGGCUCUGGAGAUGGGCGGAUUGAAGCACACCACAAUGUGAUUUGACUUGCGGAGGGCUAUUUCAAGGGCGAAGAGACAAUUUCGAAUGAGGUUGGCGGUGACAUGAGAUGUACGAUAACUAGCAGGUUUUGCAAGUCAUUACUUCCUACAAAGCGAAACCCAACAGCAUGAAUGGCAGUGAUGCUUCACUACCAGAUGAACUCAACGCUUUCUAUGCCCGCUUUGAAGGGGGAGAACAUAACUACAGCUGUGAAGAUCCCUGCUGCACCUGGUGACCCCGUGAUCUCUGAAUUGGAGGCCGAUGUUAGGCUGUCUUUAAAGAGGGUGAACCCUCACAAGGGGGAAGGCCCCAAAGGAGUACCUGGUAAGGCUCUGAAAACGUGCUAACCAAUUGGCAGGAGUAGUCAAGGAUAUUUUCAACCGCUCAUUCCUACAGGUGGAAGUUCCUACUUGCUUCAAAAAGGAAAUAAUUAUACCAGUGCCUAAGAAGAAUAAUGUGAGCUGCCUUAAUGAUUAUCGCCCAGUAGCACUCACAUCUACAGUGCUGAAAUACUUUGAGAGGUUGGUCAUGACUAGACUGAACUCCUACAUCAGCAAGGACCUGGACCCACUGCAAUUUGCCUAUUGCCACAAUCGGUCAAUGGCAGAUGCAAUCUCAAUGGCUCUUCACAAGGCCUUAGACCACCUGGACAAUAUAAACACCCGUGUCAGGAUGCUGUUCAUUGACUAUAUAGCUCAGCUUUUAAAACCAUCAUUCCCACAAUCCUGAUUGAGAAGUUACAGAACCUGGGCCUCUGCACCUUCUUCUGCAAUUGAAUCCUCGACGUUUUAACCAAAACACCAUAAUAUCACCGCCUCGCUGGUGAACCACACUGGUGCACCUCAGUGGUGUGUGCUUAGCCCACUGCUCUACUCUCCAUAUACACAUGACUGUGUGGCUAGGCAUAGCUCAAAUACCAUCUAUAAAUUUGCUGAUGAUACAACCAUUGUUGGUAGAAUCUCAGAUGGAGAUGAGAAGGCGUACAGGAGUGAGAUAUACCAACUAGUGCAGUGAUGUCACAGCAACAACCUUGCACUCAAUGUCAGUAAGACGAAAGAGCUGAUUGUGGACUUCAGGAAGAGUAAGAUGAAGGAACACGUACCAAUCCUCAUAGAGGGAUCAGAAGUGGAGAGAGUGAGCAGUUUCAAGAUCUCUGAGGAUCUAAGCUGGUCCCAACAUAUGGACGCAGCUAUAAAGAAGGCAAGACAGUGACUAUACUUCAUUAGAAGUUUGAAGAGAUUUGGUAUGUCAACAAAUACACUUAAAAACUUCUAUAGAUGUACCGUGGAGAGCAUUCUGACAGGAUGCAUCACUGUCUGGCAUGGGGGGGAUGGCUACUGCACAGAAUCGAAAGAAGCUUCAGAGGAUCGUAAAUUUAGUUGGCUCCAUCUUGGGUACCAGCCUACAAAGUACCCAGGACAACUUCACGGAGCGGUGUCUCAGAAAGGCAGCGUAUAUUAUUAAGGACCCCGCCCCCCGAAGCACCCAGGGCAUGCCCUUUUCUCAUUGUUACCAUCAGGUAGGAGGUACAGAAGCCCGAAGGCACACACUCAGCAAUUCAGGAACUUCUUUCCCUCUGCCACCCGAUUCCUAAAUGGACAUUGAACACUUGGACACCACCUCACUUUUUUAAUAUAUAUUAUUUCUGUUUUUGCAUGAUUUUUAAAAUCUACUCAAUAUACAUAUACUGCAAUUAAUUAAUUCUAUUUUAUGUAUUGAAUUGAACUGCUGCUGCUUAGUUAACAAAUCUCACAACACAUGCUGGUGAUAAUAAACCUGAUUCUAAUAUUUUAGAUGCUGGUAUCUGGAUUAACAAUCCACUGGAGGAACUCAUUGGGGGAAAGGAAGAGUCCAUAUUUUGGGUUGAAAAACUGCAUUUUUUCUGAUGAUGGGUGUAGUGCAUACAUUCCUGUUUAUAUCAGGUGCUGAGGUGGAGAUGGUUGAGAGGUUUGAGUUCCCAGGUGUCAACAUCACCAACAGCUCUCCUAAUCUAAGCACAUAGAUAUCAUGGCUAAGAAAGUGAAAUAACACCCUAAGUUCCUCAGGAGGCUAAGAAAUGUUGGCAUGUUCCUGCUGCCUCUCACCAAUUUUUAUAGAUGCACCAUUGAAAGCAUCCUGUCUGGAUGCACUCUGGCUUCUUAUGACAAAAGCUCUGCCAAAACCACAAAGCUGCAGAGUAUUGUGGAUACAACUCAAUACAUCAUUAAAGCCUCCAGUAACGCUCUGCACUUCUUGUUGCUCAAUAAAGCAGCCAACUCAAUGAAAGACACCUCCCACCCCAGGCUUUCCCCUUUCCCAUCAGAAAGAAGUUAGAGAAGCCUGAAAGCAUAUACCACCAGGCUCCAGAACAGCUUCUAUCCUGCUGUUAUAGGGCAUUGAAUAGACCUUCUGUACAAUGAAAUGAACUCUUGACUUCAAUAUACAUUAUCAUGUCCAUGUACCUUAUUGUCUGCCUGCACUUUUUUCCUCCAUCUGUAACACUUUAUUCUGCAUUCUGUUAUUGCUCUUCUCUUGCCUCAAAGUACAGAUAUGAUGAAAUAAUCUGUAUGGAUAGCAUGCAGUUUUUCACGGUACUUCGGUACAUUGAUAACGAUAAUAAUUAUAAUGAAGAGUUUCAACCCAAAAUGAAGACAAUAUCCCUCCAGUAAUAUUGCUCGAUCCACUGAGUUUCUUCAGCAGAUUGUCUGUUGCUUCACAUUUUAUGUCCUUUCACAUGUUAUCUUUUAGCUUGAAAUAUAAUUGUCUUCUGUUUGAGCAUAUAUCCAUUUGCCUUCAGUUGCAUCAGAAGUCGUCAGUUCUAUAUCACUACAAUCAGAUUACAUUGUAGCAAUUUUUACCUCAGUAAACAUUAAGUAAACGUUCUAUUGCCAGUAACACUGCCUGAAAAAAUGCUGCCUGAAAAAUCAUUUUUCAAUUUUUACUAGACAGAAAUAAAUUCAAAAUAUUAGAAAUACACUUUACAUUUCUUAUAUCAACAACCAAUUUACUAUCUGUCUAGUAAGCAACUAGAUCACACACUAAUUUGUUACCUGUGACAGUAUGAUUACAAUUCUUAAAAAUCAAUGGUAAACGUAUGAUGCAGUGAACUGGACAAUUCUGAAAUAAAUCUUAACCUCCAAUAAAUGUACUAUGUGACAAUACCAGCUGAGUUUUAAUCCUGCUGUAAUAAAUCCAAGAUACCGUUAAUCAUAGAGGGACAGAAUGCCUGAGAGCAGUGACUUUUAUUAGAUAAACUAGCUUAGAGCAUAGAACACAAUGUUGUGCUGAUCAUUAACCUACUCUAGAAACUGCCUAGAAUUACCCUACUGAAUAUCCCUUUUAUUUGUCUAAGCUUCAUGUACAUAUCUAAGAGUCCCUUAAAAAACACUAUUGUAUCUCCCUCCACCAUCAUCGCCGGCAAUGCCUUCCUUGCACCCACCACUCUGUGUUAAAAACAUACCCCUGACAUCUCUUCUGUACCUACUU